rnacentral:rRNA from 1 species
AGCGAACGCUGGCGGCAGGCUUAACACAUGCAAGUCGAGCGGACCUUUCGGGGUCAGCGGCGGACGGGUGAGUAACACGUGGGAACGUGCCUUCCGGUUCGGAAUAACCCUGGGAAACUAGGGCUAAUACCGGAUACGCCCUUAUGGGGAAAGGUUUACUGCCGGAAGAUCGGCCCGCGUCUGAUUAGCUAGUUGGUGGGGUAACGGCCUACCAAGGCGACGAUCAGUAGCUGGUCUGAGAGGAUGAUCAGCCACACUGGGACUGAGACACGGCCCAGACUCCUACGGGAGGCAGCAGUGGGGAAUAUUGGACAAUGGGCGCAAGCCUGAUCCAGCCAUGCCGCGUGAGUGAUGAAGGCCUUAGGGUUGUAAAGCUCUUUUAUCCGGGACGAUAAUGACGGUACCGGAGGAAUAAGCCCCGGCUAACUUCGUG